AGCGAACGCUGGCGGCAGGCCUAACACAUGCAAGUCGAACGAACCUUUCGGAGUUAUUGGCGUACGGGUGAGUAACGCGUGGGAACGUGGCAUUAGGUUCGGAAUCAGCCAGGGAAACUGGGGCUAAUACCGAAUAUGCCCGCCGGUAGAAAGAAUACGCGCCUUUAGAGCGGGCGGCUACGGAUUGGCUAGUUGGUUGAGGUAAUGGCUCACCAAGGGGGCGGUCAGUAGCUGGUCUGAGGGUUGGUCAGUCACAAUGGGACUGAGACACGGCACAAACUCCUACGCGAGGCAGCAGUGGGGAAUCUUGCGCCAUGGGCGAAAGCCUGAAGCAGUCCUGCCGCGUGAAUGAUGAAGGUCUUAGGAUUGUAAAAGUCUUUCACCGGGGAUGAUAAUGACGGUACCCGGAGAAGAAGCCCCGGCUAACUUCGUG
rnacentral:rRNA from 1 species